rnacentral:rRNA from 1 species
UACGUAGGUGGCAAGCGUUGUCCGGAUUUACUGGGUGUAAAGGGCGUGCAGCUGGGCUGACAAGUCAGAUGUGAAAUCCCGCGGCUCAACCGCGGAACUGCAUUUGAAGCUGUCAGUCUUGAGUACCGGAGAGGUCAUCGGAAUUCCUUGUGUAGCGGUGAAAUGCGUAGAUAUAAGGAAGAACACCAGUGGCGAAGGCGGAUGACUGGACGGCAACUGACGGUGAGGCGCGAAAGCGUGGGGAGCAAACAGG